rnacentral:tRNA from 1 species
GGGCGUGUAGCUCAACUGGUUAGAGCACAGUCCUGAUAAGACUGAGGUUCCAAGUUCAAGUCUUGGCACGCCCA